AAGACAUAACACGAUACUCUAUUCAAGUACUGGAAAGUGAAACCUUAUCCUCUUUUUUACUCUUUCAAGAGACCAAUGAAUCUCUUAGGAAGAUGUAAAAAUCAGUAACAGGCUUUCUCAUAGCAAGUCGUCGGCCAGUCAAAAUAUGUGUAAGCAUAAAACUCAAGUCGUGAAGUAGCCAGAAAUAGUAGAGGGUGGGAGACUG
rnacentral:misc_RNA from 1 species